rnacentral:rRNA from 1 species
UACGGGGGGGGCAAGCGUUGUUCGGAAUUACUGGGCGUAAAGGGCUCGUAGGCGGCCAACUAAGUCGGAUGUGAAAUCCCCAGGCUUAACCUGGGAACUGCAUCCGAUACUGGAUGGCUUGAAUCCGGGAGAGGGAUGCGGAAUUCCAGGUGUAGCGGUGAAAUGCGUAGAUAUCGUAAGGAAGACCAGUGGCGAAGGCGAGUUUCUGGACGGUAACUGACGCUGAGGCACGAAGGCCAGGGGAGCAAACGGG